rnacentral:rRNA from 3 species
AGAGUUUGAUCCUGGCUCAGGACGAACGCUGGCGGCGUGCUUAACACAUGCAAGUCGAGCGAUGAAGCUUCCUUCGGGAAGUGGAUUAGCGGCGGACGGGUGAGUAACACGUGGGUAACCUGCCUCAAAGUGGGGGAUAGCCUUCCGAAAGGAAGAUUAAUACCGCAUAAUAUAAGAGAAUCGCAUGAUUUUCUUAUCAAAGAUUUAUUGCUUUGAGAUGGACCCGCGGCGCAUUAGCUAGUUGGUAAGGUAACGGCUUACCAAGGCAACGAUGCGUAGCCGACCUGAGAGGGUGAUCGGCCACAUUGGAACUGAGACACGGUCCAGACUCCUACGGGAGGCAGCAGUGGGGAAUAUUGCGCAAUGGGGGAAACCCUGACGCAGCAACGCCGCGUGGGUGAUGAAGGUCUUCGGAUUGUAAAGCCCUGUUUUCUAGGACGAUAAUGACGGUACUAGAGGAGGAAGCCACGGCUAACUACGUGCCAGCAGCCGCGGUAAUACGUAGGUGGCGAGCGUUGUCCGGAUUUACUGGGCGUAAAGGGUGCGUAGGCGGAUGUUUAAGUGGGAUGUGAAAUCCCCGGGCUUAACCUGGGGGCUGCAUUCCAAACUGGAUAUCUAGAGUGCAGGAGAGGAAAGCGGAAUUCCUAGUGUAGCGGUGAAAUGCGUAGAGAUUAGGAAGAACACCAGUGGCGAAGGCGGCUUUCUGGACUGUAACUGACGCUGAGGCACGAAAGCGUGGGUAGCAAACAGGAUUAGAUACCCUGGUAGUCCACGCCGUAAACGAUGGAUACUAGGUGUAGGGGGUAUCAACUCCCCCUGUGCCGCAGUUAACACAAUAAGUAUCCCGCCUGGGGAGUACGGUCGCAAGAUUAAAACUCAAAGGAAUUGACGGGGGCCCGCACAAGCAGCGGAGCAUGUGGUUUAAUUCGAAGCAACGCGAAGAACCUUACCUGGACUUGACAUCCCUUGCAUAGCCUAGAGAUAGGUGAAGCCCUUCGGGGCAAGGAGACAGGUGGUGCAUGGUUGUCGUCAGCUCGUGUCGUGAGAUGUUAGGUUAAGUCCUGCAACGAGCGCAACCCUUGUUAUUAGUUGCUACCAUUAAGUUGAGCACUCUAAUGAGACUGCCUGGGUAACCAGGAGGAAGGUGGGGAUGACGUCAAAUCAUCAUGCCCCUUAUGUCCAGGGCUACACACGUGCUACAAUGGUAGGUACAAUAAGACGCAAGACCGUGAGGUGGAGCAAAACUUAUAAAACCUAUCUCAGUUCGGAUUGUAGGCUGCAACUCGCCUACAUGAAGCUGGAGUUGCUAGUAAUCGCGAAUCAGAAUGUCGCGGUGAAUACGUUCCCGGGCCUUGUACACACCGCCCGUCACACCAUGAGAGCUGGUAACACCCGAAGUCCGUGAGGUAACCGUAAGGAGCCAGCGGCCGAAGGUGGGAUUAGUGAUUGGGGUGAAGUCGUAACAAGGUAGCCGUAGGAGAACCUGCGGCUGGAUCACCU